UUAAGCUUUUUUUUAUUCUUCAGCUAAACCACCACCUAAAGUGGACCCAGCAGGUGGUGCAGGAGGACCAGUGAAACCCAUUCAUAAACCUGCUAAGCCCACAGUCAAGGAACCAACAAAGCCCAAAGAAACAGAUUUUGGGGGCUUGGAUCUUGAAGAUGCCUUGAACCCUGACAAUGACAUCAGAGGAAGGGCAAAGAGUCUGGCAAAG